UGGGAGGUAGCAUAAAGAAGUGUAUUUUGUUUACGCCAAAAGGGUAGUUGUAUUACUUCUCCCAU
rnacentral:tRNA from 1 species